GACGAACGCUGGCGGCGUGCUUAACACAUGCAAGUCGAACGGAAAGGCCCUGCUUUCGUGGGGUGCUCGAGUGGCGAACGGGUGAGUAACACGUGAGUAACCUGCCCUUGACUUUGGGAUAACUUCAGGAAACUGGGGCUAAUACCGGAUAGGAGCUCCUGCUGCAUGGUGGGGGUUGGAAAGUUUCGGCGGUUGGGGAUGGACUCGCGGCUUAUCAGCUUGUUGGUGGGGUAGUGGCUUACCAAGGCUUUGACGGGUAGCCGGCCUGAGAGGGUGACCGGCCUCAUUGGGACUGAGAUACGGCCCAGACUGCUACGGGAGGCAGCAGUGGGGAAUAUUGCACAAUGGGCGGAAGCCUGAUGCAGCAACGCCGCGUGCGGGAUGACGGCCUUCGGGUUGUAAACCGCUUUCGCCUGUGACGAAGCGUGAGUGACGGUAAUGGGUAAAGAAGCACCGGCUAACUACGUG
rnacentral:rRNA from 1 species